rnacentral:rRNA from 1 species
AGAGCGAACGCUGGCGGCAGGCUUAACACAUGCAAGUCGAACGGACCCUUCGGGGUUAGUGGCGGACGGGUGAGUAACACGUGGGAACGUGCCCUUAGGUUCGGAACAACACAGGGAAACUUGUGCUAAUACCGGAUAAGCCCUUACGGGGAAAGAUUUAUCGCCUUUGGAGCGGCCCGCGUCUGAUUAGCUUGUUGGUGAGGUAAAGGCUCACCAAGGCUACGAUCAGUAGCUGGU